AUAUCAAUAAGCGGAGGAAAAGAAACCAACAGGGAUUGCCCUAGUAACGGCGAGUGAAGCGGCAAUAGCUCAAAUUUGAAAGCUGGCCUCUGGUCCGCAUUGUAAUUUGUAGAGGAUGCUUUUAGGCAGCCGCCGGUCUAAGUUCCUUGGAACAGGACGUCAUAGAGGGUGAGAAUCCCGUAUGUGACCGGCUCAGGCACCUUCUGUAAAGCUCCUUCGACGAGUCGAGUUGUUUGGGAAUGCAGCUCUAAAUGGGAGGUAAAUUUCUUCUAAAGCUAAAUACUGGCGAGAGACCGAUAGCGCACAAGUA
rnacentral:rRNA from 1 species